UAGGCUAAAGCUAUUAUAGCAUUUCAUUUACGAUGGGAAGAUCCUCAGGGUAGUUUAA
rnacentral:tRNA from 1 species